UGACGUGUGAACACUUGGUCCCCAGCUGGUGCCUUAGUCGUGGUGUUUUACCACUGCAACAGAAAGGAGUUAAUACAGGUGCAGAGGGAUGCACCUAGCAGCGUCAGUCAGCAGAGUUGUUCAGCUCCAACAGGCACGUCUUCACGUCGGGGCUGAGGAGGUGGCUGAACGGUAAGCGUGCAUGCCGCACAAGCACGAAGACUCCAAUCCCGUUCCUAGGAACGAUGUAAAGGGACAGUCUUAGACAACAAGAUUGGCUUUUCUGGGAAUGUGACCAAGAAACAGAGGCUGGCAGUGAAUGGUGGAACUGAGGAUCAAGGAUGGCUGCCUUGUUGGAGCAUGAAAAGAGAUGGUAGGGGAAAUGGCCAGAAAAGAAAGAUUAAAAAGCUGUGCUGGCUUGUACUUAGGUCAACUUGCCACAGGCUAGUCAUCUGAGAAGUAAGUACCUCAGUUGAGAAAAUGUCCCUACCAGAUUGGCCUGUGGGCAACCUGUGGUGUGUUUUCUUGAUUGAUGCUUGCUGUGGGUGGGCCCAGUUUACUGUGGGUGGUGCCAUCCCUGGCCUGCUGGUCCUGGAUGCUGUAGGAAAACAAGCUGAACAAGCCAUGAGGAGAAAGCCAAUACGCAGCACUUCUCUAUGACUUCUGCUUCAAGUCCUGUCUCCAGGUUCUUGCCCUGCUUGAGUUCCUGUCCUGCCUUCCUUGAUAAUAGACUGUCACCUGGACAUAUAAGAUGAAAUAAACCCUGUCCUCCUCAA